GCUGGGUGUGGUGGUGCACACCUGUAGUCCCAGCUACUUGGGAGGCUGAGGCAGAAGAAUCACUUGAACCCAGGACGCGGAGGUUGCAGUGAGCUGAGAUCAUGUCACUGCACUCCAGUCUGGGUGACAGAGUGAGACUCCGUCUCAA
rnacentral:SRP_RNA from 2 species